rnacentral:tRNA from 1 species
UCCCAUGUAGCUCAGUUGGUAGAGCAUGGCGCUUGCAACACCAGCGUUGUGGGUUCAAGUCCCAUGGGGGAC